UACGUAGGUGGCAAGCGUUGUCCGGAAUCAUUGGGCGUAAAGCGCGUGUAGGCGGCUCGGUAAGUCCGCUCUGAAAGUCCAGGGCUCAACCCUGGGAUGCGGGUGGAUACUGCCGGGCUCGAGUCCGGAAGAGGCGAGUGGAAUUCCCCGGUGUAGCGGUGAAAUGCGCAGAUAUCGGGAGGAACACCAAUGGCGAAGGCAGCUCGCUGGGACGUGACUGACGCUGAGACGCGAAAGCGUGGGGAGCAAACAGG
rnacentral:rRNA from 1 species